rnacentral:rRNA from 1 species
GGCUGAAACUCAAAGGAAUUGACGGGGGCCCGCACAAGCGGUGGAGCAUGUGGUUUAAUUCGAAGCAACGCGAAGAACCUUACCAGGUCUUGACAUCCUCUGACACUCCUAGAGAUAGGACUUUCCCCUUCGGGGGACAGAGUGACAGGUGGUGCAUGGUUGUCGUCAGCUCGUGUCGUGAGAUGUUGGGUUAAGUCCCGCAACGAGCGCAACCCUUGAUCUUAGUUGCCAGCAUUCAGUUGGGCACUCUAAGGUGACUGCCGGUGACAAACCGGAGGAAGGUGGGGAUGACGUCAAAUCAUCAUCACCCCUUAUGACCUGGGCUACACACGUGCUACAAUGGAUGGUACGAAGGGCAGCGAAACCGCGAGGUUAAGCCAAUCCCAUAAAACCAUUCUCAGUUCGGAUUGCAGGCUGCAACUCGCCUGCAUGAAGCCGGAAUUGCUAGUAAUCGCGGAUCAGCAUGCCGCGGUGAAUUCGUUCCCGGGCCUUGUACACACCGCCCGUCACACCAUGGGAGUUGGCAACACCCGAAGUCGGUGAGGUAACCUUUUAGGAGCCAGCCGCCUAAGGUGGGGUCGAUGACUGGGGUGAAGUCGUAACAAGGUAGCCGUAU